UACGAAGGGGGCUAGCGUUGUUCGGAAUUACUGGGCGUAAAGCGCACGUAGGCGGAUAUUUAAGUCAGGGGUGAAAUCCCGGGGCUCAACCCCGGAACUGCCUUUGAUACUGAGUAUCUCGAGUCCGAGAGAGGUGAGUGGAAUUCCGAGUGUAGAGGUGAAAUUCGUAGAUAUUCGGAGGAACACCAGUGGCGAAGGCGGCUCACUGGCUCGGUACUGACGCUGAGGUGCGAAAGCGUGGGGAGCAAACAGG
rnacentral:rRNA from 1 species